CCUACGGGUGGCAGCAGUGAGGAAUAUUGGUCAAUGGGAGCAAUCCUGAACCAGCCAAGCCGCGUGAGGGAGGACGGCCCUAUGGUUUGUAAACCUCUUUUGUCGGGGAACAAGGCCCGCCACGUGUGCCGGGAUGCGAGUAUCCGAAGGAAAAGCAUCGGCUAACGCCGUGCCAGCAGACGCGGGAAUACGGAGGAUGCGAGCGUUAUCCGGAUUUAUUGGGUUUAAAGGGUGCGUAGGCGGAACGUUAAGUCAGUGGUUAAAUUGCGGUGCUCAACACCGGCCUGCCGUUGAAACUGGUCGUCUUGAGUGGGCGAGAAGUAUGCGGAAUGCGUGGUGUAGCGGUGAAAUGCAUAGAUAUCACGCAGAACUCCGAUUGCGAAGGCAGCAUACCGGCGCUAAACUGACGCUGAGGCACGAAAGCGUGGGGAUCGAACAGGAUUAGAUACCCCUGUAGUC
rnacentral:rRNA from 1 species